GUUCCUCAGCCUUACUCCAGGGGCUUUUAUUUUUCAUAAAGCGCCCUGGCAUUGCCUGAGGAUAAAUUGAAAGUAUGCUCCUUUCCCUCCCCAGCAGGAUUCUCUAUAUCCUCUGGGGCCUACAAUUUGAGCAAACAUU
rnacentral:snoRNA from 1 species